GACGAACGCUGGCGGCGUGCCUAAUACAUGCAAGUCGAGCGAACUUUUUAAAAGCUUGCUUUUAAAAAGUUAGCGGCGGACGGGUGAGUAACACGUGGGCAACCUGCCCUGUAGACUGGGAUAACCUCGGGAAACCGGGGCUAAUACCGAAUAAUCCAUUUUGCUUCAUGGCGAGAUGUUGAAAGACGGUUUCGGCUGUCACUACAAGAUGGGCCCGCGGCGCAUUAGCUAGUUGGUAGGGUAAUGGCCUACCAAGGCGACGAUGCGUAGCCGACCUGAGAGGGUGAUCGGCCACACUGGGACUGAGACACGGCCCAGACUCCUACGGGAGGCAGCAGUAGGGAAUCUUCCACAAUGGACGAAAGUCUGAUGGAGCAACGCCGCGUGAGUGAAGAAGGUUUUCGGAUCGUAAAACUCUGUUGUAAGGGAAGAACACGUACGAGAGUAACUGCUCGUACCUUGACGGUACCUUAUUAGAAAGCCACGGCUAACUACGUG
rnacentral:rRNA from 1 species